CAGAAAUCAACAAGAUGAGCGGACUCUCCCCCGUACUGCUGAAGUUUAUAUCCUGCACAUGAAGCCAACGUCUUGCGCACGUCAGCGGAGCAGAUGCUUGGCACAUCGGUCACAGGUCUUAGGGUGUUAAUACGUGCUUCUCGAGGGCCGUCUCAGGAGAUCUCCCCACAUCGGAAGUAUAUACCUCCACCUUGCUUCUUUG